UCUCUACCUGAACACCUUGAAUCGGGGUAAUAACGGCCAGAAAAACAGGACAUGUCUAUUCCUGCUGCCUCUUCUCUCUCCUUCGCCUCACAUUCUGACUUUCUCUCUGUCACUAUCACUUUCUCUCUCUCACUCCAUUAUCUCUCUGUUCACUUGUUUCUUCUUGCCCCUGGUUUGUCAUCGAUUUCACAUGAAGAGGGUGAGCCAGAGGAAAGCGAGCUCUCCCUUCUCGCUCACUGCUGGUUGAAUGAGUUGAGCUGGUUGUUGUCAGUCAGUCUGAUGUGUGAGCAGCUCUGGGGUCAGUUUUAUGGUUGUUAUAGGUGACUUGAAGAAAGUCAGCAGCAGCUCCAGCAUCAGAGGAGGAUUCACACCUCACUGGCCUGAAUUACACAAAAACAGAACAUCAUGGCUGUCAAAUAACUGAUCUGUGGAGUCUGACGGAGCUUCGUCUCGUCAUCGCAUCAAUAAUUCACUCAUCAUGUCAAACUUCCUUAAUUGAGGCGACAACAACAAACUGAUUCAGCUGCGAGAGCCGCCAGGAGCAACACGUGGAGUCUGAGCCUAACGUCUCAUUUUGUAAAGAAGCUCGUUAGUGACGAAACCAUCAAACGAGCGCAGAACAGACAGAAGUUCAAAGCUUUUAAAUCUAAAAAGCAAGACUAGAGAGAGUCGAGAAAGGACAGAAAGCUCAGUGCUGUGAUGAACAGCUAAGACCCACACUAACACACACCACGAGCAUGUCGGCGCUGCGCUCAGCCUCUCCUCCUGCUGAGGAUCCGACCACGCCUCCACCCAUGACCACGCCUCCUCGCAAAGCCUCUGUCCGCCUACAGGAGAGGCGGGGCUCUAACCUGUCUCUGCUAUUGGAUGUGAGCAGUUUGGGGGUGGAGCCUGUUUGCUCUGUCUCCACCCCAAAGGAGGUGUGGCUUCAGCUGCUUCACACCUCCUCCCGACCGCUCACGCACGCACUGCUGCAGCAGGCCUCCAUGGACGUAAACACACUGAAUGCAGAGUAUCAGAAGAUCCCUCCGAACUUUGUGAGCGCUGCGGAGCUCGAUGUUCCAGGACACAUGAUCAAAGACAGAUACAAAACCAUCCUUCCCAACCCUGAGAGCCGGGUGAUCCUGAGGAGCCCAGAGGAAGAGGCAGGACCAGACCGCUACAUCAACGCCAACUACAUCAGGGGCUACAAAGGAGCUCCCAGGGCCUACAUCGCCACCCAGGGGCCGAUGCUGCACACUGUGGAGGACUUCUGGGACAUGGUGUGGCAGGAGAGGAGCAGCAUCAUCGUCAUGGUCACCAGACUCAAGGAGAACAAUGAGAAAUGUGAGCUGUACUGGCCACAGCCGAGGGAGACGAGGAGGAGGAGGAGGGUGAAGGAGGAGGAAGGCAACAACGAUGACGAGGAGCAGAGGGAGGAGGAGCAGGAGGAGGAAGGAGAAACGGGCCGAUUCGGCAGAUUCCUGCUCAGAGUGAGAGACAGCCGAGAGAAAGACGGGUUCACUGUCACUGACAUGGAGAUCCAGCUGUGUGCAGAGCGUCGUCCCAUCAGACACUACUGGUUCACCUCUUGGCCUGACCACCACAUCCCACAAUGCACCGCUCCUCUGCUGAGACUGGUGGAGGAGGUGGAGACGUACAGCAAGUCACUCCCACCACCAAGCUCUCAGCCAAUCACAUCCCCAGUCCCCGGUCCUGGACCAAUCAUCGUCCACUGCAGGUUGGUUCCUUGUCGCGCAGUGUUGGGUGCUCUCAGUAGCUCCUCCUCAGCAGAGGAGGAUUGUGGGAGUUGUGUGAACAUCACAGCUGAUGUGAGAAAACCCAGAUUCAUGAUAACCGUCACAGCUGCUCGAGUGUCUCUGCCUCUGAUCUCACCAAGUUUUCUCAUUAAUCACAGAAAAAAUACAAAUGCUGUAAAAUUUGCUGUAGAUUUAAAAUGUUCCAAGAAAAAGAUCCACGCUUUCUUCACCAUCAGUCUCGCACCGGAAAGUAACUGGAGGAGGGAAAGUGACCAAAGCUGAGCAACAGCCGAGGAAGAGGAAGUGACAUGAGUGUCGGGUCGUUCAGUCUUCACAUGCUGUGUUGGUCUUCUGUCACAUAAAAAAGAAUAAAGAUGGUAAAUUGUCAGACAAGGUCAGACCUAGCUAGAUGCUUGCGAGUGUCUGCAAAAGUGCCAAAUGUCUGAUUUGCCAAAUAGGUAAAUGUCUUUUAAUAAUUACAAGGAAUAAUAAUAAUAAUGAUUCGAGAAAAUGUGGUGUGAACCAUUGAAAAACUUUUCUGUAAUAGCACAGCGGCCUGCUUGCACGACACAUCAGUAGAUUACCGUCUGAGUUACUGAACAGUAAAAACCAGCUUGUGAUGAAUCAAACCAGAGCGGCGGAUGUGUCGAAAGCUACUUCCUGUUUGAAAGCGUGGACGGGCGUAGCUGAGCAGCCAGCCACGACCGAGAUGACGGAUGAAAGAGUUUGCAGGUUGUGUUGUUGUGUUGUUGAGAAACGUGUUUCUCCACAUUCAACCAGAAAGAGGAAGCAGGUGAAGUGACUUAGCUUAGCAUGUAGAGACAGAGAGAGUUGCUCCACAGUCUGACUUUAUUUGAAUCAUUUCAGAAUUUUGAUCUGAUGCUACAAUCAACUAAAAUCAACUGAGUAACUAGAAGUUUUAGUGCAACUAACAUUAUCAUUAUACCUUUAUGUAAAAGAUGUCCAUGUAUUGCGUUGCAGAGAUAUAUACUGAAGGUAGCAUGCUAACCAGCUAGCUGCGGCCCAUCCUGUCUUGUAGUACCACUUUGUACCUCUAGAGGCGAUAGUCUGAUAGAUACAAAUACAACCGCACACCUUCCGACUUCAAGUUUCUGUCCUUUACUGAACGAAGACGAGCUGAAUCGCCAAGUGAACUCAUCGUAAAACACACGUCGUUCAAACUCAGCAGAAACAAAAUAAACUCACUGAGACCGCCUCGGUUCGUUUUUCCACUGUUCCAACAAUCAGCAGCUCUGCUUUGGUCAAAAUAAACCUGUGACGUGAGACCCUGGACUCAGCUGUUCGUCCUCGCCGCUUUGCUCGAGCGAGAUCUUCACCUCCUACCUCGCGUCUAACCGUUCCUGCUUUGUUUCUGUCUUUGAUUCUGCGAUUACAGUUUGGAAGCUGGAGCGGUAUUCUAAUAAAAAGUCUCCCUCUUUGUGUUCUGGUGUCGUCUGCCGGACAGGAAGCGGGACAGGGCAGCUCUGUGCUGUCAAGUUCUUCUUUUUACUGCCCCGAAGGGUCGACAGGUCAACAGGCAGCGUUCACCUCCUCAUGGACAGGUGACAUUCACCAGGCUGUAAUGAGCGAUUUAGGACAAUUAAUUCCACUAAUGUCUCUUGUGUCCUCUCAGUGCAGGCAUAGGGAGGACAGGCUGUUUUAUCGUCAGCAGCAUCGGCAGUCAGCAGCUCAGAGAAACGGGACAGGUGGACAUCCUGGAGACGGUGUGUCAGCUUCGACUCGACAGGGGUGGUAUGAUCCAAACCACAGAGCAGUACCAGU